rnacentral:rRNA from 1 species
GAUGAACGCUGGCGGCGUGCUUAACACAUGCAAGUCGAACGAUGAAGCCCAGCUUGCCGGGUGGAUUAGUGGCGAACGGGUGAGUAACACGUGAGUAACCUGCCCUUAACUCUGGGAUAAGCCUGGGAAACUGGGUCUAAUACCGGAUAGGAGCGUCCACCGCAUGGUGGGUGUUGGAAAGAUUUAUCGGUUUUGGAUGGACUCGCGGCCUAUCAGCUUGUUGGUGAGGUAAUGGCUCACCAAGGCGACGACGGGUAGCCGGCCUGAGAGGGUGACCGGCCACACUGGGACUGAGACACGGCCCAGACUCCUACGGGAGGCAGCAGUGGGGAAUAUUGCGCAAUGGGCGCAAGCCUGAUGCAGCGACGCCGCGUGAGGGAUGACGGCCUUCGGGUUGUAAACCUCUUUCAGUAGGGAAGAAGCGAAAGUGACGGUACCUGCAGUAGAAGCACCGGCUAACUACGUG